rnacentral:rRNA from 1 species
GGGUUGUGAGGUUAAGCGACUAAGCGUACACGGUGGAUGCCCUGGCAGUCAGAGGCGAUGAAGGGCGUGCUAAUCUGCGAUAAGCGCCGGUAAGGUGAUAUGAACCGUUAUAACCGGCGAUUUCCGAAUGGGGAAACCCAGUGUGAUUCGUCACACUAUCAUUAACUGAAUCCAUAGGUUAAUGAGGCGAACCGGGGGAACUGAAACAUCUAAGUACCCCGAGGAAAAGAAAUCAACCGAGAUUCCCCUAGUAGCGGCGAGCGAACGGGGAGGAGCCCAGAGCCUGAAUCAGCAUGUGUGUUAGUGGAAGCGUCUGGAAAGGUGCGCGAUACAGGGUGACAGCCCCGUACACAAAAGCGCAUGUGCUGUGAGCUCGAUGAGUAGGGCGGGACACGUGGUAUCCUGUCUGAAUAUGGGGGGACCAUCCUCCAAGGCUAAAUACUCCUGACUGACCGAUAGUGAACCAGUACCGUGAGGGAAAGGCGAAAAGAACCCCGGCGAGGGGAGUGAAAAAGAACCUGAAACCGUGUACGUACAAGCAGUGGGAGC